rfam:Nicotiana sylvestris Nsyl_contig21332, whole genome shotgun sequence.
UGGACAGAUUAUUAUAUUCGACUGUAUUCACGGCGUGAAACAGGGGAUUACACUGUUUUUAAACGGAAAGUGAAUCAAUUAACAUAAUAGACUCCU